GACGAACGCUGGCGGCGUGCUUAAUACAUGCAAGUCGAACGGAAAGGCCCUGCUCUUGUGGGGUGCUCGAGUGGCGAACGGGUGAGUAAAACGUGAGUAACCUGCCCUUGACUUUGGGAUAACUUCAGGAAACUGGGGCUCAUAUCGGAUAGGAGCUCCUGCUGCACGGUGGGGGUUGGUAAGAUUCGGCGGUUGGGGCUGGACUCGCGGCUUAUCCGCUUGUUGGUGGGGUAGUGGCUUACCAAGGCUUUGACGGGUAGCCGGCCUGAGAGGGGGACCGGGCACAAGAGGACUGAGAUACGGCCCAGACUCCUACGGGACGCAGCAGGGGAGAAUAUGGCACAGUGGGCGGAAGUCAGAUGCAGCAACGCCGCGUUCGGGAUAACGGCCUUCGGGUGGUAAACCGCUGUCGCCGGUAACGAAGCGGGAGUGACGGUAAUUGGUAAGGAAGCACCGGCUAACUACGUG
rnacentral:rRNA from 1 species